GUCAGGAUGGCCAAACGGUCAAAGGCGCUGCAUUCAGGUUGCAGUCUCUAACGAGGCGUGGGUUCGAAUCCCACUUCUGACA